rnacentral:misc_RNA from 1 species
AAGUCGUAACAAGGUUUCCGUAGGUGAACCUGCGGAAGGAUCAUUAAUACGUCUAAACAACGUUUUAAACCUUACAAAUUUGUGGAAAUUCUUACCAUUCCGGGUGCAUUUUAUUGGCAUGAGAAGGGACUUCUUGUUAUGAGACACUUCAGUGUAGAGCAGUGAGGUGAAAUCUGAGCUUUUGAUGGCUUGGAUUUGGUUCUGGAUCACGACUCUUUGGUGACAGAGAGUCAAAUGCUGAAUGCAUUCGGUUAUUACUGUUCUACAUUUUAUUCUAUCAAACUUAUAAACCCCAUGUACAACAACUUGAACUAAACAUCUCUUCUGAUCACAUUGACUUGUGUGAUGAAGAACAAAUCUGAAAUUAAGAACAACUCUUAACAACGGAUAUCUUGGUUCUC